AUUGAACGCUGGCGGCAGGCCUAACACAUGCAAGUCGAGCGGCGGCGGACGGGUGAGUAAUGCCUAGGAAUCGGCCUGUUAGUGGGGGAUAACGUCAGGAAACGGGCGCUCAUACUGCAUACUAUCAGAUGAGCAUGGGUCGGAUUAGCUAGUUGGUGGGGUAACGGCUCACCUAGGCGACGAUCCCUAGCUGGUCUGAGAGGAUGACCAGCCACACUGGAACUGAGACACGGUCCAGACUCCUACGGGAGGCAGCAGUGGGGAAUAUUGCACAAUGGGCGCAAGCCUGAUGCAGCCAUGCCGCGUGUAUGAAGAAGGCCUUCGGGUUGUAAAGUACUUUCAGCGGGGAGGCGUUACCCGCAGAAGAAGCACCGGCUAACUCCGUGCCAGCAGCCGCGGUAAUUC
rnacentral:rRNA from 1 species